CGCGGAGGUCUCCAGCAGCCUUUUGACAUCCCUGGCUAAGCUCGUUACACUAACUUGAGGCGCAGCUCCUGCGGCGAGCUCGGGCGGGCAGAGCCCGGUGCGUGCCCAGGGCUGGCUGGGCCUCUCCCCAGGCAGAGGCCUAGGAAGAGGGAAAGUGGAUAAAGAACCCACAGAAGCUACAGAAGGAGAAGAAGUGUGCUGAGCAGCUGGGGGUGGAUGUAGGGCAGCGGAGGGAAUAAAAGUUGCAGUGUCAUUGCAGACACGAGCUACAGUGUCACUAAUCAUCUUCACCAUUUCCGCCUGUCUUUUCCCUAUGUCUGCAUCUGCUUAACAACAAGCUGGACAGGGGUCGGCAACCUUUCAGGAGUGGUGUGUCGAGUCAUCAUUUAUUCACUCUAAUUUAAGGUUUCAUGUGCCAGGAAUACAUUUUAAUGUUUUUAGAAGGUCUCUUUCUAUAAGUCUAUAACAUAUAACUAAACAAUUGUAUGUAAACUAAAUACUGUUUUUAAAAUGUUUAAGAAGCUUCGUUUAAAAUUCAAUUAAAAUGCUUAGCCCCCCAGG